rnacentral:lncRNA from 11 species
UGAGAAAGGUGAAGCAUUUGGCUCACAUUAUCUCCCACAUAUGGGUUGAAAUAUUGCACUUGAGGCAUCAUAGAUAUCUCAGCCAUAAUAUAUGCUCCCUAAAUACUGCCUGGAAUCAGUGUUGACUGAAUGUACUGCCUCUAUAAGCAGGUUUCAGUCUCUACUCCCAACUCAAACCCCUGGCUUUCCUGGGUGGGGUGGCUAGAUGCCAUUCAGACAUGCUCCAGACCCCAGGUAAGUGGGCUUCUCUCCUCCACUUCCUGACG